rnacentral:rRNA from 1 species
AGGUCUUGACAUCCUCUGACAACCCUAGAGAUAGGGCUUUCCCCUUCGGGGGACAGAGUGACAGGUGGUGCAUGGUUGUCGUCAGCUCGUGUCGUGAGAUGUUGGGUUAAGUCCCGCAACGAGCGCAACCCUUGAUCUUAGUUGCCAGCAUUCAGUUGGGCACUCUAAGGUGACUGCCGGUGACAAACCGGAGGAAGGUGGGGAUGACGUCAAAUCAUCAUGCCCCUUAUGACCUGGGCUACACACGUGCUACAAUGGAUGGUACAAAGGGCUGCAAACCUGCGAAGGUAAGCGAAUCCCAUAAAGCCAUUCUCAGUUCGGAUUGCAGGCUGCAACUCGCCUGCAUGAAGC